AGUUGUGUCCCGACAGCCAUCGGGAUAGGUCGUGCUUGAUACGAUUGAGGUUACGUUCGUGUUACGUUAAAAAAAUCUUUCGUAACUUUUCGAAAUCCGUGUGACAUGUGUACAGUGGAAGUUGGUGUGAAUUUUGCUAUUUCGUGAUCGUUGCCAAUAAUUUAGGAUGAAAAUAGUACUGAAUUAUUUUUGACGAGGACGCUAACCGCGGUUAGCCCACUUAAGACACCUAUAAGAAUUUUUAUGUUGAUUCAGCUACACUCAAGAUUUAUCAGGUAAUCUUCGAUACGACUCUUG
rnacentral:misc_RNA from 1 species